CCUACGGGUGGCAGCAGUGGGGAAUAUUGGACAAUGGGCGAAAGCCUGAUCCAGCCAUGCCGCGUGUGUGAAGAAGGCCUUCGGGUUGUAAAGCACUUUCAGUGGGGAAGAAAGCCUUGGGGCUAAUACCCUCGAGGAAGGACAUCACCCACAGAAGAAGCACCGGCUAACUCCGUGCCAGCAGCCGCGGUAAUACGGAGGGUGCGAGCGUUAAUCGGAAUUACUGGGCGUAAAGCGCGCGUAGGCGGUCUGAUAAGCCGGUUGUGAAAGCCCCGGGCUCAACCUGGGAACGGCAUCCGGAACUGUCAGGCUAGAGUGCAGGAGAGGAAGGUAGAAUUCCCGGUGUAGCGGUGAAAUGCGUAGAGAUCGGGAGGAAUACCAGUGGCGAAGGCGGCCUUCUGGACUGACACUGACGCUGAGGUGCGAAAGCGUGGGUAGCAAACAGGAUUUAGAUACCCUAGUAGUC
rnacentral:rRNA from 1 species